UCGACGAAAUCCCGGGGAUUUUCCGGAUCGAAGUCUUUCGUGUGCUCCUCGAUGACUGCUUCCAGAAAGCGAGAUCUUGCUGGUAGGACUUCAUUCUUGAGUCGGUUUUGCGUCCCUCUGAGCGUGUCCAGCCAUCGCAUCGCAGGGAUGUAAUCAGCGGCAAACAGCCUCCUGGAUUCUUUCGCUUGGAUCGCCCACGACGCCUUGUAGGCUUCGGCCUCGGGAGUGAGCGGCGUGUCAGUGCCGUAGAACUUCCUCCCGAACAACACGCACGUCAUGAGGUUGGUGAAGUACUCCUGCAGCAUGGAGCUGAGAUUAAACUCGUGCCCGUCUUUUGCAGACGCCUCGACGGUCGCUCCAAACGCUCCCAGCUCCCUCUUGCGAGUGCUGGCAAAGUGGCUCACCUUGGAGGCCGUGAA
rnacentral:lncRNA from 1 species